rnacentral:rRNA from 1 species
GACGGAAGGUGCAAGCGUUACUCGGAAUUACUGGGCGUAAAGCGUGCGUAGGUGGUUUGUUAAGUCUGAUGUGAAAGCCCUGGGCUCAACCUGGGAAUUGCAUUGGAUACUGGCAGGCUAGAGUGCGGUAGAGGAUGGCGGAAUUCCCGGUGUAGCAGUGAAAUGCGUAGAGAUCGGGAGGAACAUCUGUGGCGAAGGCGGCCAUCUGGACCAACACUGACACUGAGGCACGAAAGCGUGGGGAGCAAACAGG